rnacentral:rRNA from 1 species
UACGUGAGGGGCAAGCGUUGUCCGGAUUUAUUGGGUCGUAAAGAGCGUGUAGGCGGCCUUACAGGUCAGCUGUGAAAACUCGAGGCUACAACCUCGAGACGUCGGUUGAAACCGUAAGGCUAGAGUCCGGAAGAGGAGGAGUGGAAUUCCCGGUGUAGCGGUGAAAUGACGCAGAUAUCGGGAAGAACACCCGUGGCGAAGGCGGCUCUCUGGGACGGUACUGACGCUGAGA